rnacentral:rRNA from 1 species
GUGCAGCAGGCGCGAAACCUUCGCAAUGCACGAAAGUGCGACGAGGCUACUCCGAGUGCCAUCCGCUGAGGAUGGCUUUUGCCAGGUCUAAACCGCCUGGAGAAUAAGGGGAGGGCAAGUCUGGUGUCAGCCGCCGCGGUAAUACCAGCUCCUCGAGUGGUCGGGACGAUUAUUGGGCCUAAAGCAUCCGUAGCCGGUUCUGUAGGUCUCCUGUCAAAUUCAACGGCUCAACCGUUGAGCUGCAGGAGAUACCGCAGGGCUAGGAGGCGGGAGAGGUGGACGGUACUCUAUGGGUAGGGGUAAAAUCUUCUGAUCCAUGGAAGACCACCAGUGGCGAAGGCGGUCCACCAGAACGCGCUCGACGGUGAGGGAUGAAAACUGGGGGAGCGAACCGGAUUAGAUUUGGAAAGGAGAAAUAUCCUUCCACUGAAGACCCGGGUAGUCC